CUUCAACGAACCGAGCCACAGCGGCCGUUGUGCCGAACGCCCCCGGCCGUACGUCGCCAUCAAGGCCUGUGCCUC
rfam:Streptomyces auratus AGR0001 genomic scaffold Scaffold7, whole genome shotgun sequence.